ACGGAGGGGGCUAGCGUUGUUCGGAAUUACUGGGCGUAAAGCGCGCGUAGGCGGCUUCGCAAGUCAGAGGUGAAAGCCCGGGGCUCAACCCCGGAAUUGCCUUUGAGACUGCGUCGCUAGAAUCCGGGAGAGGUGAGUGGAAUUCCGAGUGUAGAGGUGAAAUUCGUAGAUAUUCGGAAGAACACCAGUGGCGAAGGCGGCUCACUGGACCGGCAUUGACGCUGAGGUGCGAAAGCGUGGGGAGCAAACAGGA
rnacentral:rRNA from 1 species